UACAGAGGGGGGCAAGCGUUAUUCGGAAUUAUUGGGCGUAAAGGGCGCGUAGGCGGCCUGACAAGUGGAAGGUGAAAUCCCUCGGCUUAACCGAGGAACUGCCCUCCAAACUGUCUGGCUUGAGACCGGGAGAGGUGAGUGGAAUUCCCAGUGUAGCGGUGAAAUGCGUAGAUAUUGGGAGGAACACCAGUGGCGAAGGCGGCUCACUGGACCGGUACUGACGCUGAUGCGCGAAAGCGUGGGGAGCAAACGGG
rnacentral:rRNA from 1 species